GACAAUGCAGCCAGCUCAGUGAGUGGCUGGUCAUUUGAAAGUAGCACAUUGUGUCUCAUUUUAGUAUUCUGAAUCAGUGCAUCAUAUAAAUGCAUUUUGAAUAAUGCAUGUCUCCUACUUUAAUUACUUGUUUAAUUAUCUUUUGUUUGUUUCAAAGCCUAGAGCAACUGCUGUUGCUUGGAUGAUUAGAAAAUUGCUUCCAGUUGCAGAAAUCUAUUUCCUGUUGUUUCUUCUGGCAGUGAUUGCAGAUCGGCCUCCCCCGGUUAUUCGACAAGGUCCUGUGAAUCAGACUGUAGCUGUGGAUGGCACUUUAGUCCUCAGCUGUGUGGCCACAGGCAGUCCAGUGCCUACCAUUCUGUGGAGAAAGGAUGGAGUCCUCGUUUCAACCCAAGACUCUCGAAUCAAACAGCUGGAGAACGGAGUGCUGCAGAUCCGAUAUGCUAAGCUGGGUGAUACUGGUCGGUACACCUGCAUUGCAUCAACCCCCAGUGGUGAAGCAACAUGGAGUGCUUACAUUGAAGUUCAAGAAUUUGGAGUUCCAGUUCAGCCUCCAAGACCCACUGACCCAAAUUUAAUCCCUAGUGCCCCAUCAAAACCUGAAGUUACGGAUGUCAGCAGAAAUACAGUCACAUUAUCAUGGCAACCAAAUUUGAAUUCAGGAGCAACUCCAACAUCUUAUAUUAUAGAAGCCUUCAGCCAUGCAUCUGGUAGCAGCUGGCAGACCGUAGCAGAGAAUGUGAAAACAGAAACAUUUGCCAUUAAAGGACUCAAACCUAAUGCAAUUUACCUUUUCCUUGUGAGGGCAGCUAAUGCAUAUGGAAUUAGUGAUCCAAGCCAAAUAUCAGAUCCAGUGAAAACACAAGAUGUUCCACCAACAAGUCAGGGGGUGGACCACAAGCAGGUCCAGAGAGAGCUGGGGAAUGUUGUUCUGCACCUCCACAACCCUACCAUCCUUUCUUCCUCUUCCAUCGAAGUGCACUGGACAGUAGAUCAACAGUCUCAGUAUAUACAAGGAUAUAAAAUUCUCUAUCGGCCAUCUGGAGCCAACCACGGAGAAUCAGACUGGUUAGUUUUUGAAGUGAGGACACCAACCAAAAACAGUGUGGUUAUCCCUGAUCUCAGAAAGGGAGUCAACUAUGAAAUUAAGGCUCGCCCUUUUUUUAAUGAAUUUCAAGGAGCAGAUAGUGAAAUCAAGUUCGCCAAAACCCUGGAAGAAGCACCCAGUGCCCCACCCCAAAGUGUAACUGUAUCCAAGAAUGAUGGAAACGGAACUGCAAUUCUAGUUAGUUGGCAGCCACCUCCAGAAGACACUCAAAAUGGAAUGGUCCAAGAGUAUAAGGUUUGGUGUCUGGGCAAUGAAACUCGAUACCACAUCAACAAAACAGUGGAUGGUUCCACCUUUUCCGUGGUCAUUCCCUUUCUUGUUCCUGGAAUCCGAUACAGUGUGGAAGUGGCAGCCAGCACUGGGGCAGGGCCUGGGGUGAAGAGUGAGCCUCAGUUCAUCCAGCUGGAUGCCCAAGGAAACCCUGUGUCACCUGAGGACCAAGUCAGCCUCGCUCAGCAGAUUUCAGAUGUCGUGAAGCAGCCUGCCUUCAUAGCAGGUAUCGGAGCAGCCUGUUGGAUCCUCCUUAUGGUCUUCAGCAUCUGGCUUUACCGACACCGCAAGAAGAGAAACGGACUUACUAGUACUUAUGCGGGUAUCAGAAAAGUCCCGUCUUUUACCUUCACACCAACAGUAACUUACCAGAGAGGAGGCGAAGCUGUCAGCAGUGGAGGGAGGCCUGGACUUCUCAACAUCAGUGAACCUGCCACGCAGCCAUGGCUGGCGGACACGUGGCCUAACACUGGCAACAACCACAAUGACUGCUCCAUCAGCUGCUGCACGGCAGGCAACGGAAACAGCGACAGCAACCUCACGACCUACAGUCGUCCAGCUGAUUGUAUAGCAAAUUAUAACAACCAACUGGAUAACAAACAAACAAAUCUGAUGCUCCCUGAGUCAACUGUUUAUGGUGAUGUGGACCUUAGUAACAAAAUCAAUGAGAUGAAAACCUUCAAUAGCCCAAAUCUGAAGGAUGGGCGUUUUGUCAAUCCAUCAGGGCAGCCUACUCCUUAUGCCACCACUCAGCUCAUCCAGUCAAACCUCAGCAACAACAUGAACAAUGGCAGCGGGGACUCUGGCGAGAAGCACUGGAAACCGCUGGGACAGCAGAAACAAGAAGUGGCACCAGUUCAGUACAACAUCAUGGAGCAAAACAAGCUGAACAAAGAUUAUCGAGCAAAUGACACAGUUCCUCCAACUAUCCCAUACAACCAGUCAUACGACCAGAACACAGGAGGAUCCUACAACAGCUCAGACCGGGGCAGUAGUACAUCUGGGAGUCAGGGGCACAAGAAAGGGGCAAGAACACCCAAGGUACCAAAACAGGGUGGCAUGAACUGGGCAGACCUGCUGCCUCCUCCCCCAGCACAUCCUCCUCCACACAGCAAUAGCGAAGAGUACAACAUUUCUGUAGAUGAAAGCUAUGACCAAGAAAUGCCAUGUCCCGUGCCACCAGCAAGGAUGUAUUUGCAACAAGAUGAAUUAGAAGAGGAGGAAGAUGAACGAGGCCCCACUCCCCCUGUUCGGGGAGCAGCUUCUUCUCCAGCUGCCGUGUCCUAUAGCCAUCAGUCCACGGCCACUCUGACUCCCUCCCCACAGGAAGAACUCCAGCCCAUGUUACAGGAUUGUCCAGAAGAGACUGGCCACAUGCAGCACCAGCCCGACAGGAGACGGCAGCCUGUGAGUCCUCCUCCACCACCACGGCCGAUUUCCCCUCCACAUACCUAUGGCUACAUUUCAGGACCCCUGGUCUCAGAUAUGGAUACCGAUGCGCCAGAAGAGGAAGAAGAUGAAGCUGACAUGGAAGUAGCCAAGAUGCAAACCAGAAGGCUUUUGUUACGUGGGCUUGAGCAGACACCUGCCUCCAGCGUUGGGGACCUGGAGAGCUCUGUCACAGGGUCCAUGAUCAAUGGCUGGGGCUCAGCCUCAGAGGAGGACAACAUUUCCAGUGGACGCUCCAGUGUUAGUUCUUCGGACGGCUCCUUUUUCACUGAUGCUGAUUUUGCCCAGGCAGUCGCAGCAGCAGCAGAGUAUGCUGGUCUGAAAGUGGCACGACGGCAAAUGCAGGAUGCUGCUGGCCGUCGACAUUUUCAUGCGUCUCAGUGCCCUAGGCCCACAAGUCCUGUGUCUACAGACAGCAACAUGAGUGCUGCUAUAAUGCAGAAAACCAGACCAGCCAAGAAACCGAAACACCAGCCAGGACAUCUGCGCAGAGAAACCUACACAGAUGAUCUUCCACCACCUCCUGUGCCGCCACCUGCUAUAAAGUCACCUACUGCCCAAUCCAAGACACAGCUGGAAGUACGACCUGUAGUGGUGCCAAAACUCCCUUCUAUAGAUGCAAGAACAGACAGAUCAUCAGACAGAAAAGGAAGCAGUUACAAGGGGAGAGAAGUAUUGGAUGGAAGACAAGUUGUUGACAUGCGAACAAAUCCAGGUGAUCCCAGAGAAGCACAGGAACAGC
rnacentral:sRNA from 1 species